rnacentral:lncRNA from 1 species
UGGUGGUUUCCGAUUUGAUUGCAAUGUCUUGGACAUCAGGUGUGCGCCCGUGAAAUUGAACGAUCGGUACCGUUCAACACGCGAAACUUCGGUCGCGAUUCGACAUAGUUUCUGUGUAAUUCGCAUACCUCGAGGUGGCCUGAAACGUAAUCGGCGAAUUUCCACCAUGGCGCUUAGUUUUGUUUGCUUUUUUCCCCCAUGUUCAUUUCGUUUGCAAUGUGGGUCUUUGGCGGUUAGUUUUUAAACAUUCGGAAAUUUAAGUGCUUGUAAGUGCCCCAAAUCGCAUGUGUCGAUUAUCGGACACGCGGGGCUACAUGCUCAACACGUUUUUCGCAAGUGCAGCCUUUAAAGAACGUUUUUUGGUUAUACAGGCAAACCUCGUUAAU